UCCAAAAUUACAUGUUUUAUUUUCAUGUUUGUAAAACGAAGAGCUUUUUUCUGGAUGGUUUUCUUAUCAGCUUUUCACACAACAGUCAAGUAAACCUCGUGGCACUAGCCCUAGAAAUCGUUGCAACUUUGGAACUUCCAAGACAAUCUGGCCUCUAUCAAUGGGCAGACAGCGACCCUCACUUUCAAAAUGAAGCUGCUAGUCAGUCACAUUCGACAUUCAUUAUCUUCACUGGCUACUCGUCCACACUCAGAACGCUGUUCACUCUGUUAAAAGUGUCAGGUUUUAACCAAGCGAUUUUCCAUUAAAUAUUCUCCCAGAUGUUCUGGAAGUUUUUUCGUGUAUCUCUUUGCAUCUUCAGAGCUGCUCCACUGUGCCACUGAAGACAGCGCCAUUGUUCCUGCGGGAAAUCGGUAUUUAAGCAUUCUCGCAGAAAUGUCACACUCCAAGGCGUUUUUCCACACAAAACCCUUCCCCUUCAUUAAUCCGAAUUGCACACAACGCCGCCUUCGAACAGCUCAGUUUCAAUACAGGGUCGAGGCUUCCCAUUUUAAAACAACGCCGACGGAAGGCCUUCGCCAUUUUAGUAAAGGCCCUUUGCUGUUA
rnacentral:lncRNA from 1 species